AGUUGCGAAUUACAAACUUUAGUUUAUAAAUUCUGUCUAUACCCUCCAACCCACUGUAUACUUUUCUCAUCUCUUCUCUACCUUAUCUUAAUUAACUAUCUUCUUCUUCACCGUUCUUCAAUCUUUCUUGCGAUUCUGCAAUCGAUAUGUACAAUUAAUCUAGAUAUCAGUGUGUUGAUCUAAUUGAGCUAUAUACUCAUUUAUAAUCAUACAAUCAUUAAUCUCAUAUGUUGAUUAGUUGUAAAUUUUUAGAUCUAGAUCUACUUUGUAUUGAAAUUCUAAAUCUAGAACCUUCUGUUGUGAUUCAUAUAUUUGUUGAAUAUUUGUAGUAAACAAUGAAGAAAGUGCUUCGAAAAGAUCGGCCGUCUAAAGGGUUCAGUGAGGAUGGACCAGUUGAUGAUCCAAAUCGGCAGUACAAAUCUCCGGUGUUCCGCGUCUCCCAGCACUUCUGAUUAAAAGAAGACGGGUCGCAGAAAUACAAGAUUUGAUCUGCAGUGAUUAAAUUGGGCUACAGUGAUCCGUAUAACUUGUGUGAUCAUACAAGUUAUUCGAGAAUUCAAGAGAUGGUCCAGACUCCAGAGAUGGCUUCCAAUUGUAUAAAGAUGGAAGCCCAAACGAGAGGAAUACCAGGAAUGCCGAGAUGUAUUUCUUUCACUUGCAAUUUUGAAGUCCCUCUGCCUCUUAGAGGCCUUUCCGCCAAGUAGACAAAUAGGGAUUGAUGUAAAUUGUAACCCAUAUGAAAUAUGGAUGCAGUAGAUGUAUAGCGGUAUCAUAGACAAAUAAGAAUUGAUGUAAAUUGUAACCCAUAUGGGAUAUGGGUGCGGUGGAUGUAUACCGGUAUCACAAAGAUUGAUGUAAAUUGUAACCUAUAUUGAAUAUGGUUUGGUAGAUGUAUACUGGUAUCAUUUUAUUUCGUUGUAUGUGGAACUUUAAUCCUAUGUAUCAUUUUGUUUCGUUGUA